CACAAGGUGUGACAGGUCGUGAGGGGAUGCUCACUCCUCCAUGGCACCUGAUUCCGUCACUGACAAUUUAAAGUCUUGAAACAAGUUAAAUGAUAUGGAUAAACUCUUGGUUUUGGUUGCAAUGACCAUACUCUUCCAUGUGGCCCUGACGACCGAUUUUGGAUAUGAUGAAUUCGGAAACGUAGUUUACGAUAAUACAAGAGGAGUUCACAGGGGGAAAUAUGAAGGAUUGAAAAGAAGAUCAGGAAGAUUUGGAAUAGGAUUUGGAGGAUUGAGUGGAGGAUUCGUAGGAGGAGGAAGAGGAGGAUAAUAUGGAGGAUCAGGAAGAUAUGGGAGAUUCGGAGGACUACGAUACAAGAAGCACUAAAACGAAACUUGCAUUCAUUUAUGUUCAAUCAAAUUCUACCUGAUUGUUCUUUGUUAAACGCCGACAUAGAAAUAAUUCAGCCAUUGAAACAUUUGUAAUAAAAUUUUGGAUCUAA